UGGGGAAUAUUGGACAAUGGGCGCAAGCCUGAUCCAGCAAUGCCGCGUGAGUGAUGAAGGCCUUCGGGUUGUAAAGCUCUUUCGCACGCGACGAUGAUGACGGUAGCGUGAGAAGAAGCCCCGGCUAACUUCGUGCCAGCAGCCGCGGUAAUACGAAGGGGGCUAGCGUUGUUCGGAAUUACUGGGCGUAAAGGGCGCGUAGGCGGCCUGUUUAGUCAGGAGUGAAAUCCCCGGGCUCAACCUGGGAAUUGCUUUUGAUACUGGCAGGCUUGAGUUCCGGAGAGGAUGGUGGAAUUCCCAGUGUAGAGGUGAAAUUCGUAGAUAUUGGGAAGAACACCGGUGGCGAAGGCGGCCAUCUGGACGGACACUGACGCUGAGGCGCGAAAGCGUGGGGAGCAAACAGAUUAGAUACCCUGGUAGUCCACGCCGUAAAACGAUGAAUGCUAGACGCUGGGGGGCUUGCCUUUCGGUGUCGCCGCUAACGCAUUAAGCAUUCCGCCUGGGGAGUACGGCCGCAAGGUUAAAACUCAAAUGAAUUAGACGGGGUCGAUAGCUGUUU
rnacentral:rRNA from 1 species